rnacentral:rRNA from 2 species
GGCGGGAUUACCCGCUGAGUUUAAGCAUAUCAAUAGGCGGAGG